AUCUCUCUGGAUGUCUGUAUGUAUCUGAGGUCUUCUUAAGAUCACCUAUUCACAUCAGGGGGCCACAACUGAGGAAACUUGGAACAAGGAUGCUUGAAAUGUAAAUUAAGUAAAUCUUUCAGUUGCAGUUCUACCAUGAACAGAGUUGGGGCUGGAACCAAGCUCUGCCUAGACUGGGCCAUGGGAAGGAAGCUACUGGUAAGGUGCUGGAGAGAAGCUGGAGAACUCUGUGAUUCCAGCCCCUAAUGCUGCCCACCUCAGGAAAGGCAGAGAAGAAGAAAACUAACAAAUGUGUAUGGAAGCUCCAGAUUUUAUUGCAAUGGCCUCCGCAGACUACAGCCAUCACGUUGGGCCAGAACAUGGCUGCUCCUGUGGUGUCUCUGGGACCAGCUGUGAGGAUUUUCAUCCUGGCAUUGUAUCCUGGAAAGGCUUUGCACCUGGGCUGGUGCUCUCCUCAUGGACCAACUCCCAUUGUGUCUCUGGGGCUGGCUCAUGGUCUCUGCAGCCCUGAAGUCAACAGGGGAGUGGCUUUGUGCCUUGGCCCACCCUUGCUGCCUGGCCUGCUUCUUCAGUCAGCUUCUGGGGAAUACCUUGGUGACCCUGGUACUCCUUGGCUGAUGUAGCCCUGGGUGCAGCUCCCAGCACCUGUGACUGGUACAUGGCUGCUCCCACAGCAUCUUAGGGGUCAGCUCUGGGAAUCUGGGGUCUGAGACUGUAAUGGGGAGCGACUUCGGGCUCGGGCACACCCUCCCUGUCUGGACCUGUGGCUGCCAACUUCUGGAGAAUCUCUUGAGGAUCCUGAUGUCCCCUGGCUGGCAGAGAUCAAGGUCUGUCUCUCUGCAGCACCUCCUAGGGCUGCAACGUGGCUGCUCCCAUGGCGUCCUUGGAGCUGGUUAUAGAUGUCUUCAUCCUGAUUUAAAUGCGAGUCGAUUCUCUGCUCUGUCCUGGUCUGGCUUGACUGGCCACUGCUCUCAGGCGCCCUGGAACUGGGAGCUGGCCCCAGUGCUGCCUGGCUGGCAGUGCUACUCUCAGGUGCCACUGAGCCAUACAAUGGCCCCAGUCCCAGCUGGUUGGCAGUGCUGGGGUCAGUGAGAUCCAAGUUGUCACUGGAGGCUGUAAGGGGAGGCAGGAAGGUCAGUCAGAAGGACAGACCUUCAGCUCUGCUGUUGGAGAGGCUCACGUCUCUCCUUGGUGAGAGAGUUUUUGGCAAGGCUGCCUUGAGGACCAGCUGCCAAGCCUUGCCUAGCCCCAGCCUGAUAUCAUGUAGCUGUCUGCUUCUUACCAGUGCCCACGCUGGCACAGGUGUUGCACUCCCACGUGUCUGUGCUGUUGCUCAAGUAGGAGCAGUGCCGGUGAGUGCCUUCUGCAGCACAGGAACUGCACAGAAGCAGCUCCCAGGGCCUGGGUAGACAAACAUGGAUGUGAGGACAAAGUGAGCCAAGCCAGGGAGUGCCCAACACAUCUCUGGUGUUCAGUCUUUGCUCCCCCUGCCUGUGAUGAGGCUGAGAUCCCAGGCAAAACCCCAGAUAGCUGCUGAGCCAACUCACCCCUCUUCUUCUGCUUGCUCUCUGCCUC
ensembl:lncRNA